rnacentral:rRNA from 1 species
UGUAAGCGUAUACCAAAGUUGUUGCAGUUAAAACGCUCGUAGUCGGAAUUUGGCAGUUCCGGAAGUGUGCACGUCGUGUGCGCACUUUGCGGAGACUGCUUUUGUGGUCUUGCGUAGGAUGAGGCACUUUCAUUAGUGAACGUCCUCACGCAACCACUCUUUACUGUGAGAAAAUCAGAGUGCUCAAAGCAGGCAUUUGCCGUGAAUGUAUUAGCAUGGAAUAAUAGAAUAGGACUCGGUUCUAUUUUGUUGGUUUGUUGGGACUGAGUAAUGAUUAAGAGGGACAGUUGGGGGCAUUUGUAUUCCGGCGCUAGAGGUGAAAUUCUUAGAUUGCCGGAAGACAAACUGCUGCGAAAGCGUCUGCCAAGGAUGUUUUCAUUGA